GUGUAGCUGUCGUCAUAAUUCUCUAUGAAAGAUCUAGGAGAAGCAACCAUAUCCUAGGGAUAAAAAUCUAUGGGAUAGAUUUAAGAGGCUACUUGGGCUUUCUCGAUUUACGUACAUAGAUACCAUGCUGAAAUGGUUCAGCAUGGAGAUUUUAAGAAAGACUAUCUUUCGAUAGGCCAUGAAAUUUUUUUCUUGAAGAAAGAUUAUCCGACAACCCCUCAAGAUAGAGAGCGUAUGAGUAAAAUUUCAUAUACCUUAGUAGUGGGUUCUAUAAUGUACACCUGACAUAUACGAGAUCAGAUGUCGCUUACUCCCUAGGAGUAGUGAGUAGAUACCAAUU
rnacentral:lncRNA from 1 species